rnacentral:lncRNA from 10 species
ACCCAAAGGGCUAAGUCUUCUUUCUUAAUUUUUAAAACAAGCAUGUGUUUUGUUCUUUACAUGAAUCGUCGGUUCUCCCAGUGUGAUCACGACACUGUCCCAUGCUGAUUCCAUGCACGGUGCAACUCUUUCCCAAGAGAGGUUCUAACUCAGGACACCUGGGAGAGGACCCGAGCUGCAUUUCUCACAGCUACCAGAUGCUGCACGCUGGCAAGGUUUUGGGAUGCACUGAAUCCAGUUCAGCAUGUUUACUGAGCAUAUACCACAUAGAGAGCCCAGAUGAUAAAAAAAUGAGAAGAUGGGUUGUACCUGCCCUUGAGGAGCUAACAAGGUUGUAAACUGAGGCCCAGAAAGGUUCAGCCAUCUGCCUGAGGUCACACAGCCACAGUUUGGACCUGAGCCAUCAAUCAUCCACCAAAAGCCUGCAUUGACCCUAGAAGAUUCCAUUGCAUGUUGUCAAGGCGCUUAGUUUCUCUCUUGUGUCUCCCCAAAACAUAAACCUGGAAUGGAAGAGAGCCACUUACUCUAUAGAUGCUUUUAGCUCAGAACGCUUCAAGCUUUUGGAGUAUGAGAAAUAAUAACAAUCAUUCCAUUCUUUCCUGGAGUUUGAUCUCAGCUGUUGGUGAUAUUGUUGGGACUGAUUUGCUAUCUAUAAAGCCAAAUUUGAGAAAAGACAGGUUAAAAAUAAACAGGGAGGAUGAUGGUAGUAAAAAUAAC